rnacentral:lncRNA from 10 species
UUAGCUGGGCUGGUGACACGUGCCUGUAAUCCCAGCUACUCAGGAGGCUGAGGCAGAAGAAUUGCUUGAAUCUGGGAAGCAGAGGUUGCAGUGAGCUGAGAUCGCGCCACUGCACUCCAGCCUGGUGACGGAGCAAGACUCUGCCUCAAAAAAAAAAAAAAAAAUACAUCCUCAGGAAGAUGAUGGUGAUGAUGUAUGAAACUGAAAAAAAUAUGCUUAGUUUUGUGAGAUUAGAUCUACAGGGCUGAGAAGAGUAAAAUCUUGUUUGGACUAGUAUAUUGAACAAAAACCACAUAGGAGUCACAGUGGAAACAAUUAUAGGCAAUACCAAUUCUUAUCAUUUUAAUGAGGAGAAGUUAAAGUUGGUCUUUUCGUUGUGGUUCUUAAAUGCAAGGUAUAACCUAUAGUCCAUAACAAAUUUUUCUUUAGAAAUUAUCAAGUACACAGUGGGUUUUCUUUAGAAACCACAAUUCUAGAUUUUUUAAAGCAGAAAAUAUGCUGUCCUCCUUCAUUUUAAUUCUUUUGGAGGAAUAGAACUUUUUUUUUCUUUCUAUAGUUAACUAGAGUUGCCACAGGCAAGAGGACUAACAGAGUAAAAUACUAACUGAUCCAAUAUAUACUGCAUUUAUCUAACUGGAUUUCAUCUAGCUCAACAUCAUGGCUUUGUAGUCUAAGCAGUAGAUGAACAGAAACAAUAAACUGGGCAAGUAAUGUUUUGUGUGAAUAACAGAAAAGAGUGAACAGAAAUAUAACACUUCACCAUUGCACAAAAUACAAUUAAAUAUGAUUUUUAAAAACCCAGCCACUGAUCCACUGCCCAAUCAUAAAAGAAUUGUAAUCAGUUCAAGUAGUCUUAAAUAUAGUGAAAAUGUCCUCAAGAUACACAGCAUGAGAGAACAAAGAGUUUUCACUAUCAUCUGCUGGACUCAGGGAAGGUGUGCUAUGUGGUUAUCAUUUGAGUGCUCUGUGUUUAAGUUAAUCAAUAUUAUAAAUUAUGCAUGUAUUUUAGAAGUUCAUAAUUUCUAUUAACUUGUAAAGUUAUUGAAAAGAAGGAUGAAUAAACCAUACUACAAAAAUAAGAAUGUGAAUAAAUGCCAGUUUUUCCUCAGAUUACAGAUGAUAUAACAUCGCUGCUAUUUUAAGAAAAUGAGACUGGAUCAGAUGUGAACAUUUAUCCCUUCUCUUUAGGAUAGCCUAUGAAUUCAACACAUUGACACUAAUUAUAACAAUAGCUAACAGUUAACUGGAGUACUAACCAUGUGCAAAGCACACUGUAAUUAUUUCACAUAUAUUAUCUCAUUUAAUGCUAACAACAAUACUAUAUUAUAAACAAGGAAACUGAGGCAAAGGGAAGUCAUUUGCUCUAGAUCACCAGGGUAGUAACGGGUGGAUGUAGGAUUCAAACCAGACAUACUCCAGAAUCCAUACAAUAUCAGAAUAGUCUGACCCCAAAAGACACACACACACAAAAUGGAUCUAACCAAUACCUUGGGAACAUCAUCUAACUUUUCUGGGCUUUAGAUCCUUCAGCUGAAAUAGGAGUUGACAAACCUUUUCCAAAAAGGAUAAAAUCUUAAAUAUUUUAGGCUUUGUGGGUCAAGAGGCAAAAUCAGAGAUGUCAUGCUAUUUAGGUAAUUAUAUAAUUGGAGAGAAAACUUGCUGUAUCUCAGCCAGUUAGAUGAAAAACACAUAAUACAACAGGAAAGGAUAAUCUUCAAACUAUUAAAUUAUAUUCUCUUUGUACGUCUAAUGUGGAGACAAAUUAUAUUAAGAACACGGUAGCUGAAAUAAAAUUAUUUCAGAUUAGCACAUCAGGUGUUGAAUGUUAUCAGUGGUUAUCUUAGGGGGUGACAGAAGAAGAUUUUAGGGACAGAGGGAAGUUUUUUCACUUCCAGUUAAAAUUUAUUUUUUAAGUGGUGGAAUUGAUUGUUAUUUAUUAUUAUUAUAUUUUACUUUGUGUUUUGGAGUAGUUUUCAGUAUUUUUUCCUGGUUUUAUUGAGGUAAAACUGACAAUAAUUUUACACAUUUAAUAUGUACAAUGUGAUGGUUAUCAAAUACACAUUACCACGGUCAAGAUUAUUAACAUAUCCAUCACCUCAUAUAGUUACCAUUGUGCAUGUGUGUGAGUAUGUGUGUGUGCUGAGAAUACUUCAGAUCUUACUCUCUGCGUAAAUUUAAUGGAUGCAAGUCAGUAUUAUUAACUAUAGUCACUAUGCUGUAUAUUUGAUCACCAUAAGUUAUUCAUCUUAUAAUUGAAAGUGUGUACCCUUUGACGAACUUCUCCUGAUAUCCCUGUCCCCAGCUCCUGGCAAUCACCAUUUUAUUCUUUACACUUUUGAAAUCUACUUUUUUUUUCUUAAUUUAAUUUUAAGUUCUGGGAUACAUGUACAGGACGUGCAGGUUUGUUACAUAGGCAAACGUGUGCCAUGGUAGUGAACAGCCAUGUUUUCAAUACAUCACAAGCCAUAGUAGUGAGAAACACCAUUUCUUUUUUUUUCUUUUUUAAUUAUUAUUAUACUUUAAGUUCUGGGAUACAUGUGCAGAACUUUCAGGUUUGUUACAUAGGUAUACACGUGCCAUGGUGGUUUGCUGCACCCAUCAACCUGUCAUCUACAUCAGGUAUUUCUCCUAAUGCUAUCCCUUCCCCAGAC